AUAAUAAAUCAGGAUAAAGAAAAGGUGUUAGAGUAGUUGAAAAUAAACAAAGUAAAGAAGGUGUUAGAGUAGUUAGAGCAAAAAUAUAUACUUUAUAUAGUGUCUACAUUCCUCUAUUUCUUAAGGGCUUGAAUAUUUUUCAGAUGGUUUGAUUUUUCUAAAUGAUGUUGUCUAGUGCCCAAAAUAGGAUAGAGGAGGUGGAGAAGGUUAGGUCGAAGGUGAUUGUGUGGUUGUUUCAGGUUGUUGAAGGAAUUGAAGGGUUAAGGCAUUUAAGGUGUUGACCACUCCCUUGAAUCUUUCAUUUUGCUCAGCCUUGAUUGCAGGAAGUUUUGUAGUAGUGCUUGGAGCAUGUUGAGCCAUAAGGUCAUGCAUAUGUUUCAACAAGGCGGUAGAGGCAAGGUAAGUUGGUAUGUUAGGGUUUGGUGGAAGAAUGGUGAUUGGUUGAGGGUUGUAGGUGGCUAUUUGUGAAGGUUGGUUGGCGACUUGGGUUGAAUGGUUGAGGGGGUUGUGACAAUUUGAGUGUUAGGUUGGUUUUGUUAAGUUAUUGAGAGUGAAGUUGGUUGAGGUGAUUUGUCGGUAGGGUCAUGGUCUUCUAGGUUUUGGUUUGGUUUUUAGUGAGGUGGAGAGAUGGCGAUAAAGGAUUAGGCACACAAGAGAGGAGAAAAGAUAACGUGUUUGCACUCUGAAUAAAAUUGUAUCUCUUAUUGAAAAAAGAAAACAGAGUAU
rnacentral:lncRNA from 1 species